GGGUAGCUGAGGGGAUGGUAGACCGGUGACGUGCACUUCAUUUAUGAUGUAGGUCACCCGUUUGACUAUCCACCAGCACCC
rfam:Ovis aries breed Texel chromosome 18, whole genome shotgun sequence.